rnacentral:rRNA from 1 species
UACGGAAGGCAGCAGUGGGGAAUAUUGCACAAUGGGCGCAAGCCUGAUGCAGCCAUGCCGCGUGUAUGAAGAAGGCCUUCGGGUUGUAAAGUACUUUCAGUCGUGAGGAAGGUGUUAAGGUUAAUAACCUUAGCAAUUGACGUUAGCGACAGAAGAAGCACCGGCUAACUCCGUGCCAGCAGCCGCGGUAAUACGGAGGGUGCGAGCGUUAAUCGGAAUUACUGGGCGUAAAGGGCACGCAGGCGGUUAAUUAAGUUGGAUGUGAAAUCCCCGGGCUUAACCUGGGAAUGGCAUUCAAGACUGGUUAGCUAGAGUCUUGUAGAGGGGGUUAGAAUUCCAUGUGUAGCGGUGAAAUGCGUAGAGAUGUGGAGGAAUACCGGUGGCGAAGGCGGCCCCUGGGACAAGACUGACGCUCAUGUGCGAAAGCGUGGGGAGCAAACAGGAUUUAGAUACC